GGAGUGGUGGCCGAGCGGUCUAAGGCGCACGCCUGGAAAGCGUGUUGGGGUGCAAGCCCCUCGCGGGUUCGAAUCCCGCCCACUCCGCCA
rnacentral:tRNA from 1 species